GACGAAUGCUGGCGGCGUGCUUAACACAUGCAAGUCGAACGGUGAAGCGAGUGCUUGCACUCGUGGAUCAGUGGCGAACGGGUGAGUAACACGUGAGUAACCUGCCCAUCACUCUGGGAUAAGCACUGGAAACGGUGUCUAAUACUGGAUACGACCAACCCUUGCAUGGGGUGUUGGUGGAAAGAUUUAUCGGUGAUGGAUGGACUCGCGGCCUAUCAGCUUGUUGGCGGGGUAAUGGCCCACCAAGGCGACGACGGGUAGCCGGCCUGAGAGGGUGACCGGCCACACUGGGACUGAGACACGGCCCAGACUCCUACGGGAGGCAGCAGUGGGGAAUAUUGCACAAUGGGCGAAAGCCUGAUGCAGCGACGCCGCGUGAGGGAUGACGGCCUUCGGGUUGUAAACCUCUUUCAGCAGGGAAGAAGCGAAAGUGACGGUACCUGCAGAAGAAGCACCGGCUAACUACGUG
rnacentral:rRNA from 1 species